GGCAAUGUGGCGGAGUGGUUAACGCGAUUGACUAGAAAUCAAUUUCCUUCGGGAGCAUCUGUUCGAAUCAGGUCAUUGUCG
rnacentral:tRNA from 1 species